UACGAAGGGGGCUAGCGUUGCUCGGAAUUACUGGGCGUAAAGCGCACGUAGGCGGCUUUCUAAGUCGGAGGUGAAAUCCUGGAGCUCAACUCCAGAACUGCCUUCGAUACUGAAGAGCUCGAGUCCGGGAGAGGUGAGUGGAACUGCGAGUGUAGAGGUGAAAUUCGUAGAUAUUCGCAAGAACACCAGUGGCGAAGGCGGCUCACUGGCCCGGUACUGACGCUGAGGUGCGAAAGCGUGGGGAGCAAACAGG
rnacentral:rRNA from 1 species